rnacentral:lncRNA from 1 species
GAGAUUCACCCAAUGGAUUAGGCGAUCCUCAAGCCUUCUUUUCUUCGGCCUUUCAGCUGUCUUGUUUCUUUUUGCUCAUUAGUGUCCAUGCUUUGUUCCUCAAUCCAAAUACCUGAAAUUUAAGGAUUUACAUCAGUUAUUGGCACAAAAUAUGCAUUUGAGGGUACUAAAUCUAUUAAAAAGAAGCCCUAAAUGAGGACGAUCAGAGUUCAGCUAAAGCUGAAUACAUG